AAUGAACGCUGGCGGCGCGCCUAAUACAUGCAAGUCGAGCGAGAAGACGUAGCAAUACGUUUGUAAAGCGGCGAACGGGUGAGGAAUACAUGGGUAACCUACCCUUGAGUGGGGAAUAACUAGCCGAAAGGUUAGCUAAUACCGCGUACGCUUCCUGGACUUCGGUUCAGGGAGGAAAGCGAUGCCGAGGGUAUCGCGCUCUUGGAUGGGCUCAUGUCCUAUCAGCUUGNGGUGAGGUAACGGCUCACCAAGGCUUCGACGGGUAGCUGGUCUGAGAGGACGAUCAGCCACACUGGCACUGCGACACGGGCCAGACUCCUACGGGAGGCAGCAGUAAGGAAUAUUGCGCAAUGGGCGAAAGCCUGACGCAGCGACGCCGCGUGGGGGAGUGAAGGUC
rnacentral:rRNA from 1 species